CGGCGUUCAGUAGUUUUCAGUAGAAGAUUCAUUUGCAAUCAAAUUAUAAAGAUUGUAAUUGUGUGGUGUAAAUAAUCCUUUUUCUUGCAAACACACUCGAAAAUUCAACAAAAAAAAAAUGGCCAGCAAAGUACCAACGGUUAAGCUAAACAGCGGUCACGAAAUUCCCAUCAUCGGUCUGGGUACUUGGGGUAGCCCUCAAGGUCAAGUCACGGAGGCUGUCAAAGUUGCCAUCGACGCUGGUUAUAGGCACAUCGAUUGUGCCCAUGUCUACCAGAACGAGCAUGAGGUCGGCGAUGGCAUUGAGGCCAAGAUCAAGGAGGGCGUUGUCAAACGCGAGGAGCUGUUCAUUACCAGCAAGUUGUGGAAUACUUUCCAUCGCCCCGACUUGGUCCGUGGCGCUUUGGAGACCACAUUGAAAUCGUUGAAGCUGAAAUAUCUCGAUUUGUAUUUGAUCCAUUGGCCUAUGGGCUACAAGGAGGGAUCUGACCUCUUCCCCGCCGAUAAGGACGGCAAGACUCUGUUCUCGACUGCCGAUUAUGUGGAUACCUGGAAGGAAAUGGAGAAACUGGUCGAGGCUGGCCUAGUCAAAUCGAUUGGUGUCUCCAAUUUCAAUAAGAAGCAAGUGGAACGUGUUUUGGCCGUGGCCAAAAUUCCACCAGCCACCAACCAAGUCGAAUGCCAUCCAUAUCUGACACAAAAGAAACUCAUCGAAUUCUGCAAAUCGAAAAAUAUUACAAUUACUGCAUACAGCCCUCUGGGUUCACCCAAUCGUCCAUGGGCCAAGAAGGGUGAUCCUGUCAUCCUAGAGGAGCCUAAGAUUAAGGAACUUGCUGCGAAAAAGAAUAAGACCGCCGGACAGAUUCUUAUUCGGUAUCAGAUCCAGCGUAACAACAUUGUCAUCCCCAAAUCGGUGACUAAAGAUCGCAUCGAAUCAAAUUUCCAGGUCUUUGACUUCGAAUUGACACCCGAGGAGAUUCAAAUCAUUGAGAGCUUUGAAUGCAAUGGACGCCUGGUGCCUCUGCUCAAGGAGGCUGGUUCUCACAAACACUAUCCAUUUCACGAUGAAUUCUAAAUCAAAUAAAAUCCAUAGCCCAGUGAAGAGAACAAACAAGAAAAGAAGGCAGAAUAAUAAAAGAAAGAAACAAUAUAUAUGUAGUUAUUUAACAAAUAUUUCAAGAACUAUUAGCAAAACUAACGAAUUGCGUCAACAAGUGUCUAUGGUCAUCCCCAUCAUCCAUUCGAGAAUGAUGAAUUCUAGAAUUCAAGCAACGAGAAGGCCACACAAUUAAAUUUAAUCCUUACAUAAACAUUUAAAAUGUAUGCUAAACAAUAUGAAUUAUAAUAAAAAAAAAAAAACAAUUUAUAUA